rnacentral:rRNA from 1 species
CGCGUAGGCGGUCUGCUAAGCGUGCGGUGAAAGCCUGGGGCUCAACCCCAGGUCUGCCGUGCGAACUGGUGGACUUGAGCACUGUAGAGGCAGGUGGAAUUCCGGGUGUAGCGGUGGAAUGCGUAGAGAUCCGGAAGAACACCGGUGGCGAAGGCGGCCUGCUGGGCAGUUGCUGACGCUGAGGCGCGACAGCGUGGGGAGCAAACA